UAAUUAAGAAAAAAAAAGAAAAAAAUAUCUAGCACAUCUAGUCAAUCAAUAAGUUUUUUAACUAGGAUUUAAAUUAAGAAAUGUCAUAAUUCUAAAGAAAAGUAUAAUAUGUCAUUGAAUUAAAGUUAAUCAAUAAGGUAUUAAGCAAAAGCUAAUUAGAGAAUUAGGUUAAGUGGAGAAGCCCAGGGUAGGUGUACUUUAAAUAUCUUUAGGAAUUUUGAUGUAACAUGUCACUCCUCAUUUUAAGAGGAGAGUUUUUUAGGUGUGUGAAAUAUCUGUGGCUCUUUGAUUGAAUUAUGAGCUUUCUUUUCUUUUUUUUGGUCCCACUAUAUUAUUUAUUUCAAUGCCUAUAUUUUGGUUUAAAUUUUAUGUUUCUCUAUUAUUUGAGA
rnacentral:misc_RNA from 1 species